rnacentral:lncRNA from 1 species
GAACUUUACCCAUGAUGCUGUGUGUGAAGCAUCUGUGGCCAUGCCACACCAGCUUCUAGGACAGUUCAUGGCUUCUGUGCCUUAGCCCAGUAGACAUCAUUUUCUUUUAGAAAGAGAAUCCAACACAGGAAAUGCUCUUUAUUGCCAAGUCAGAAGCUGCCCCAUAGAGACAGAGGGGACACUAGUGUCGUGAACAUGUCAGGGAUCAAGAAAAGACACAACACUCAUGCAGUCUAGUGAAGAACAGUCCCAGGGAGUGAAGAAUUACAAGAAGUCGGGGAUCAGGAGGAGUGCUGCAGCUCCCCUCAAACUCUCCCAGGUCUAACCAACACAAAUAAUCCCACAAAUGUCUUGAAUCUAUCUGCUGUGUGGGAACUUGUGUAGCUCUGCAUCUGUUGGAUCAGAAUGAAGCCAGAGCUACCACACUGGUGUUUCAUCAGGUGUCACUAUCGGCUUCUCUGAAUUUCUGCAGUGACCUGAUGACUGUCUGUGACUGUGCAGUCCUGGCAUUAUGUGACCCAUACAUGGCCACCCAAGCGUCUUUCACUGUCCGUGGGCUUUCCAUGCUGCUUGACAGAUCACAUUUCAAUGAGCAAAGCCAGUCUUCUUGUACCACCCAAUGAAGCCUGCAACCUUUCCACCAUGGACCUAACCAGUCUUGCUACUCCUUUGAGGAUCCUCCAUCUUGGAUUUCCUGCUGUGAAGAACACUGACCCUACAUUUCCUUCUUGUCUGCCUCCUUUACUUCCUUCAGUAUUUAAUCAGUCACUUCAGUGAGUCCUACAGAGAUCUGAUGAUGUAGAGAUGACAUCACAACCCGGCUGCCACUCUGUCCCUUUCCACACACAGUCCCCACAGUUAUCCACCCCACCCCCACAGCAGCUCAUAAUUGCUCAUCCUCAUACAUUUCAGGGGAGGGAUCCAAGGUUCAUGUGUUCACCCAUUUAUCCUCCAAGCCCUCAAUAGCACACAGAAUCAGCACUGUGCCUUUUGAAUUGAUUGUAGCAUCUGUCAACUGUCUUUAUCUGGCCAAACAUCUCUAUGGGUAGGAAGUUCCACACAAACUUCAAAUCUCGGGUAGAUGAGUCCACCACUCUACUUUGGAAUGUGCACUAGAUGCAAAGCAAGUUUGGUAUAGAUACACAGAAGAAGUCAGCUGCUGGUUAAGGGAGGCCACUUAUAGUACACAAGGAGUUUUGUGGCAAAGAGAUUCUCCUUCCAGCAGACUACAUCUCUGCACAUUCCAGGGUAUAGAUGGACAGUAUAGAUAGUCAGGGUUUCCCUCCCAUGAGAAUACCAGGGCCCAACUCUAUAAUAACAGAAGAUGAAUAAUAAAAAAGAAGCCUGCCAUAGUGACUACCCUCAGCACUUCCUAUGUGCCAGCAAUUUAUGAAACUAUCUGUUUUCUUUGGUUCCAUAAGAACUGCAUCUCCAGUACCCACCAUGCAUUUAAUGCUUUCAGAAAUAUGUGGAUGGAUUGAUGGAUGGAUGGAUGGAUGGAUGAUGUGACAGCUUGAAUUGUCAACAACCUAGAACUACCUGGGAAGAAAAUCUCAGUUGAAGGAUUAUUUGCAUUGGGUUGGUCUGUGGGCGUGUUUAUGGAGGAUUGUCUUAAUUAACUGAUGUAGGAAGACAUACCCCACUGAGGGCAGCACCAUUCCCUAGACAUAAGGUCCUUACAUGUGUAUGAAUUAAGCUGAGCACAAAUAGUGAACAAGUGGGCAGCCAUGCAUUCAUUUCUUCCUACACAUCUUGACUGUAGAUGUGAUGUAGAUAGUUGUUUGAAGCUCCUGCCCUGACUUCCCCACAAUCAUGGUCUGUAACCUGGAAUUAUAAGCAGAAAGAAACCCC